rnacentral:rRNA from 1 species
AGCUCCAAUAGCGUAUAUUAAAGUUGUUGCAGUUAAAAAGCUCGUAGUUGGAUUUCUGAUCGAGACAUCAGGUCGGGUCCGAGAGGAUCAUGUACUUUGAUUUGUUUUGAUCAUCCUUGGGGAGAGCAUUUCUGGCAUUCAGUUGUCGGGAUUGGGAUCCUCAUCGUUUACUGUGAAAAAAUUAGAGUGUUCAAAGCAGGCCUCGGCCUCUGAAUACAUUAGCAUGGAAUAAUAAGAUAGGACUUUGGUGGUCUAUUUUGUUGGUUUGCACGCCAAAGUAAUGAUUAAUAGGGAUAGUUGGGGGUAUUCGUAUUCAAUUGUCAGAGGUGAAAUUCUUGGAUUUAUGGAAGACGAACUACUGCGAAAGCAUUUACCAAGGAUGUUUUCAUUAAUCAAGAAC